ACUGGCUGUAUGGCCUUGGGCCAGUUGCUGCCCUUCUCUAGGCCUCAACAACUUGGCUCUGACAGCCUUCCCCAGCUCUGCACUCAGAGGGUCCUAGAGCUUGUAACCUGAGGCCAACAUCACGGUUUGGGGAUAGAAAGGAUCUUGUCAUCUAGUCCAAGUCCUUUGCUUUUCAUAGGCUACUAUGAACACCCUCCUUGGGGGCCACAGAGUAACCCUGGUCAGCCUGGUAACCCAAGGUCAUAAACUGGUUGCAAAGAGGACCACUGGGGAGAAAGUAAAUGCGUCAGAGAAAAUCUACUGGGAAGACAACCCCAACCACUUGUUGGAUACCUCUAUCCACAAGAGGGCCCCCACAUGGAGGACAUGAAGCAGAUGAGGGCAGACAUGUACUAACGUGGGCCAUACGUACGAAGCAGAGCCAUGUACAGCAGGAGAGAAUGGAGCGGGCAGCAGUGAACUUUGGCUGGGGAAACAGGGAAGGCUUUUUGAGCUGGAUCAACGGGGCAUCGGGAUACAGAAUUUAAGGAGUCAUUAACCUCGUCCUGAAGGGCUCAGAGAACCAGCGGAUGAGGGGGUCGGUUCCCAGUGUUGGGGGACCAGACGAGGGAGGGAGCCUGGUUUGACCCUUGAAGGACAGAUGAGCGGCUGGCAAAGUAGAAAGCAAAAAUACAGUGCCCUAUGCAACGGGAACAGCCAAAGCACAGCAACCAGCUCCCAUCCCCACCCCCCAUCCACUUAACACUUAGGGAACCACUGCCAUUUACUAAAGUCAUAGAGCGAGCAUGGGGGACUGGAGACUCAGAGAUGACUGAGAUGCCAUCCAUGUUUCCAGGAGCUCAUAACCGGGAGGGAAAACAAGUAAGUAAAUGGAAAAGGGAGCGCUCUGUGCUCAGGGUCCUGUUAGCACACACAGGGCUGCAGAGCAGGGAGUGCCCCUGCCUUGAUGUGUGUGGUAGCAUUUCCUGAACAAAAACCUGAGCUGAGGCUGAAAGAUGAGAAAGGGAGGGUGGUCUGGGCUGACGGUACAACAGGUACAAAAACACAGAGGUAUUAGCAGGUUACUCGUCAAAAGGAGGUCCAUCCUGGGGUGUCAGUAAGGUUCUGCUUCUUGAUCUGGGUGCCUGCCUCCUGGGCGUGUGCAGUUCCAGAAAAGCACACUUAUGACUCAUAUGCGUACACUCACCUUGGUUGCACAAAGUAGCCCCCAGUCUCUCACAUGGCCAUUUUAUUUUUCUGCACAGCACUUAUCACCAUUUAAAAGUAUCCCUUUUGUAAGACUCUCUGGAGCCAUAAUGUUAGGGUUUGAAUCUGGUCCUCCCAUACCAGCUCUACGACCAUGCGAACUCAACCCCACUGAGUCAGUCUCCCCACCUGUGAAAUGGAGAUGAAGAUAGCACCUUUAUCACAGGUUGUGGACCGAGGCAGUCACUUGAGGUCCAUACAGCACUUACAGGGUGCUUCCUCUGUGCUCAUCGUGACAAUACUGAAUUUCUAACUAUUGGCGGGACCUGGUAAAUAGGAACUUAAUAAUUUGUUUAAGAAAUG
ensembl:lncRNA